CUCCGCAGGAGGUUCGAGCCUCGCGAAGCGAGACAACGUUGCUUCAGCAACGGCCCGCAGGGCGCGCAUCCAAGAUGCGCGUAAUCCUCUCUCGCCGACCA
rnacentral:sRNA from 1 species